rnacentral:rRNA from 1 species
AGUGAACGUUGGCGGCGUGGAUUAGGCAUGCAAGUCGAACGCAGGACCGGCUUCGGUUGGUCUUGAGUGGCGAAAGGGUGAGUAAUGCAUAAACAAUCUGCCCCUGAGACUGGGAUAGCUACUGGAAACGGUAGGUAAUACCAGAUGGCCCCACGAUGUGGCAUCACAAUGUGGGUAAAACGGUAGGGAUCUUCGGACCUUCUGCUCGGGGAGGAGUUUAUGGUCCUAUUAGCUAGUUGGUGAGGUAAUGGCUCACCAAGGCUGUGAUGGGUAGCUGGUCUGAGAGGAUGGUCAGCCACACUGGGACUGAGACACUGCCCAGACUCUUACGGGAGGCUGCAGUCGAGAAUCUUCCGCAAUGGGCAAAGCCUGACGAGCGACGCCGCGUGGAGGAUCGAAGG